AACGAACGCUGGCGGCAUGCCUAACACAUGCAAGUCGAACGAGACCUUCGGGUCUAGUGGCGCACGGGUGCGUAACGCGUGGGAACCUGCCCUUAGGUUCGGAAUAACUCCCCGAAAGGGGUGCUAAUACCGGAUAAUGUCUUCGGACCAAAGAUUUAUCGCCUUUGGAUGGGCCCGCGUUGGAUUAGCUAGUUGGUAGGGUAAAAGCCUACCAAGGCGACGAUCCAUAGCUGGUCUGAGAGGAUGAUCAGCCACACUGGGACUGAGACACUGCCCAGACUCCUACGGGAGGCAGCAGUGGGGAAGAUUGGACAAUGGGCGAAAGCCUGAUCCAGCAAUGCCGCGUGAGUGAUGAAGGCCUUAGGGUUGUAAAGCUCUUUUACCCGGGAUGAUAAUGACAGUACCGGGAGAAUAAGCUCCGGCUAACUCCGU
rnacentral:rRNA from 1 species